UACAGAGGUGGCAAGCGUUGUUCGGAAUUACUGGGCGUAAAGGGCGUGUAGGCGGUCUUCUAAGUCAGACGUGAAAUCCCCCGGCUUAACCUGGGAACUGCGUCUGAUACUGGGAGGCUUGAGUAUGGGAGAGGGAUGUAGAAUUCCAGGUGUAGCGGUGAAAUGCGUAGAUAUCUGGAGGAAUACCGGUGGCGAAGGCGGCAUCCUGGACCAUUACUGACGCUGAUGCUCGAAAGCUAGGGGAGCAAACAGG
rnacentral:rRNA from 1 species